rnacentral:rRNA from 1 species
AUGUGGCUUGUCAUACAUAGGAAGUGCCUUACGGCAGAAAAUCUUCAGAAAAGAGGUAGGCCGUCCAAUCGGGAUUGCGCACUCUGUUCUGUGCAACCAGAGAGCUGCACACACCUUUUUAUUCACUGCAGAGUUACCCAGCAGCUUUGGAUCCUCUUCAAACAAUGGUCUACGGUGAAUUUUCCCAUCCCGGACAGCAGCUUUGACAGCACGGAAGACUGGUGGCUGGCGGCAAGGAGGACAAUCCCCAAGCAAGCGCGACGGAACUUUGACACCAUUGUCAUUCUUAUUCAUUGGAGGACCUGGAAGGAGCGGAAUGGGAGAAUUUUUCAGCACACCACUUGUAAUAUAGAGAGGGUCCUGGACCUUAUCAGAGAAGACAUUGGAGUGUGGAGAUCAGCCGGAUGUGUGACUGAUUUAGUUAAUUAG